UCCAUUAAUUCCAUUCCAGCCAUUACAAUGAGCCUGUCCUCCUAUAGCUCCUCCCACCAGCCUCCACUGCUACCCACCCCCAGUGAAGGGCCAUCCUGUAACCCAAUGACCCAGGAUUACACCAAAAGACCCUUGGGGUCAUACCAUCUCUGGCCAUCGGCGGGGGUCAUAGGUCAUAGAUCAGAGGUCAUUCUACCAUCCCUGCUCUGCUCUCUGCAUCACCCUAUAAUAUCACAGACACAGUAGUCAUUAUCUAUGAAGUGCAAAACAACAAGUCUUUUUGAUUAGGAUUAUGCAACUAAUGUCAUAUCUCUGAAAAAUGUAUUACGUUUCCCCAUAUAAUAAAAACUGCUACAGCAGACAGUGAAACAUGUCUUGACAGAGGAUACUGUAUAGGAGAUUUCCAAUGUUGUCCCGAGAAGGGAAAAACCACACCCAAAGUUAGCUAGAUCCCUCACAGACAGACCGUUGUAUGUUUUUGAACGUUAAUAAUCUAAUUAAAUGAAAUUAAAAACAUGGCUAGCAUCUUCAAAACUGUUUUAAAAUACUAGUUAAAAAGAACAAAGAAAGACACCAGCAAAAGCAAAAUAAAAAAGCUAUAUGACAAUAAAAUAAAAUAAUAACAAUAAAAUCAAUCCAGUCACAAAUCAGAUAAAAUAAAAAUAAAAUCAUUAUUACAGUAGUCAGAUGUCCAGUGGUUUAUAUAAUAAUAUAUUAGGUUGGUGUCAAAAAAAAGUAAUCUACAGUAAAAAAGUAAAAAUAACCAAAACAAGCUAUUCAACACUACUAUAUACAGCACACAGUGUGUCUCUCUCUCGUAAGGGGAGAGCUGGUAAGUAUGUAAGGGAGAGGGAGACUGAAAACAGAGAUCUUGCUGUAACACAAGAGUCUUUCUUGGCACAGAAAACGGUAGUUACCAGCACAGACGGACGAGAGGAGAGGAGCUUCUCAAAGAUAAGGAGGACAGCACAGAGCAGUACUGCCUUCCCCACAUACACACACACACACACACAGAGACUGUACACAGACUGUACACACACACACACACACACACUGGGGAAAGAGCCAUUUUGUCACACAGAUAUGCAGGCUGAUUGGGGGGGAAGUCACAGCAAUGUAGCCGUCACACAGACUAUUGUAACCCCUCAGGACUGGCUCCUCCCUUCCUCUCUCUCUAGCUACCCAUCCCCCUUUCCUUCUCCAGUCCUCCCCACAGGCUUAUAUUUGAUCUCUCACAGUAUACUAUAUCUGAUCAUUCACAGGGGUCAGGACACCUGCAGUUCCAGACCCCAGUCUGGGCUCGUCUAUAUAUAGGCUGACGGUCACAGUAUGGGGGUUAUGUAUCUGGAGCUGACCAAGACGUCUGGAACUCUGGAUCCAUUUCUCAGGCUCACUGGAAACUGGUCUGGAGGAAAUGGGAGAGCCAUAACCAGGACUGGAACAGGACUGGGGCUGUGUAUUGUACAGUUGUUGUAUAUCCUCCCAACACUGAUAAAAUCAUUAACACACACACGCACGAGCGCGCACACACACACACAUGCACACACACACAAACAGAUAGAACACGUUUUUAUCUCUAUGCGCACACACACACUUUUGAAAAAAGGAAACAGUAAAAGGGAAAACGAUCUCCUCGUCGCAGACCCAUUUCUCUCAGUUGGUUCAGUCCUGCUGGUUCAGAAAGUCUCUGUGGUCACAGGAAAACGUGGGGGGGGAAACACAGCCUGUCUGACCUAUAUACACAGUCCCACUGACUGACACCCUGUCUGUCCAAUCAGGAUCCCCUCCUCACUGACUGACACCCUGUUCAUCCAAUCAGGAUCCCUGGAUUCCCCCGGUUCCUACUGUUCAUCCAGUAGCAGCUUAGCUCUGUCCUCCAGGUGCUAGGUGAGCUGGAUAGGUGUAUAGUAGUUUGUGGUCUUAUUGUGGUUAUGGUUGGUUGGACUGCAGCCUGGGUGGGUUAACAGUUUGGGGUUAGUUCUCCAUGCAGGUGGAAAGACGAGUAGAAGUGAGUCCAUGUUACUCAGUAGAGGUGAGUCCAGGUUACUCAGUAGAGGUGAGUCCAUGUUACUCAGUAGAAGUGAGUCCAGGUUACUCAGUAGAAGUGCGUCCAGGUUACUCAUAGGGAGGAGGGGUGGAGCAGAACACAGUGUUUAGACAAGGAGUAUUUUGGGUUUUGGGGUCCAGAGUCUUGGAGUAGAGCCAAUAUAGAGGGGGUACAUACACACACAAACACACACACACACACACACACACACACACAGGUAACUGACAAAAUAAUGGAAACACUUGAGUAUAUGAGGUAGGGAUGGGAACGGUUAUUCAGAUAUUCAAAUAUCCAAAUGGACGUUAGUAUUUGAAAAAAAUAACAUAUCUAUUUUAACAAUGAAAAGGCUUUGUCUAAAUUAAAUGAUCUAUGUGACAUUGCUACAAACAAGGAUAUGCCAUGACAUUUUUAAAUUCUUAAUUCAAUAAAACAAUCUUUUAAAUGUAGUUUUUAUGACAUGCGCCCCAUAAAAGUACAUACCGUAGUAGCCUAUACGGGUUUCACGCGGUUGUUAUUGUCGGCCAAUCAAAGUGGUACUGUCUACAUUCAGUGGCUCCAUGUGUAGUAAGCAACAUGGGAGAUCUCUAAUCAAUGCAAAAUGGAAUUAAAAUUACAGAAUUAAGUUAGUUAAAUGAGAAGGAGUAGGCUACAACUACGAGCAACCAUCAGGUAGGCUGUUAUUUAAUCUGAAUAGAGUUGCUGUAGACAAGGACGGGAAGCACAGCAACAUAGCCUUAAUUACUUUUAGCCUAGGUAGCUAGCUGACGGUCACAGUAUGGAGGUUAUGUAUCUGGAGCUGACCAAGACGUCUGGAACUCUGGAUCCAUUUCUCAGGCUCACUGGAAACUGGUCUGGAGGAAAUGGGAGAGCCAUAACCAGGACUGGAACGGGACUGGGGCUGUGUAUUGUACAGUUGUUGUAUAUCCUCCCAACACUGAUAAAAUCAUUAACACACAUACGCACGAGCGCACACACACAUGCACACACACACAAACAGAUAGAACACGUUUUUAUCUCUAUGCGCACACACACUUUUGAAAAAAGGAAACAGUAAAAGGGAAAACUAUCUCCUCGUCGCAGACCCAUUUCUCUCUGAUAUAAAGUGACAGUUGGUUCAGUCCUGCUGGUUCAGAAAGUCUCUGUGGUCACAGGAGAAUGUGGGGGGAAAACACAGCCUGUCUGACCUAUAUACACAGUCCCACUGACUGACACCCUGUCUGUCCAAUCAGGAUCCCCUCCUCACUGACUGACACCCUGUUCAUCCAGUCAGGAUCCCCGGAUUCCCCCGGUUCCUACUGUUCAUCCAGUAGCAGCUUAGCUCUGUCCCUCAGGUGCUAGGUGAGCUGGAUAGGUGUAUAGUAGUUCGUGGUCAUAUUGUGGUUAUGGUUGGUUGGCCCGCUGGCUGGGUGGGUUCACAGUUUGGGGUUAGUUCUCCAUGCAGGUGGAAAGACGAGUAGAAGUGAGUCCAUGUUACCCAGUAGAGGUGAGUCCAGGUUACUCAGUAGAGGUGAGUCCAUGUUACUCAGUAGAAGUGAGUCCAGGUUACUCAGUAGAAGUGAGUCCAUGUUACCAAGUAGAAGUGAGUCCAUGUUACUCAGUAGAAGUGAGUCCAGGUUACUCAGUAGAAGUGCGUCCAGGUUACUCAGAGGGAGGAGGGGUGGAGCAGAACACAGUGUUUAGACAAGGAGUAUUUUGGUUUUUGGGGUCCAGAGUAGAGGGGGUAAACACACACACAAACACACACACACACACACACACACACACACACACACACACACACACACACACACACA